rnacentral:rRNA from 1 species
UACGAAGGGGGCUAGCGUUGCUCGGAAUCACUGGGCGUAAAGGGUGCGUAGGCGGGUUUUUAAGUCAGAGGUGAAAUCCUGGAGCUCAACUCCAGAACUGCCUUUGAUACUGAAAGUCUUGAGUAUGGGAGAGGUGAGUGGAACUGCGAGUGUAGAGGUGAAAUUCGUAGAUAUUCGCAAGAACACCAGUGGCGAAGGCGGCUCACUGGCCCAUAACUGACGCUGAGGCACGAAAGCGUGGGGAGCAACAGG